CCUAGCAACAACUCUCAGAAGUUUGAAAUGGGUCUCACUGGGCCAAGCAAGGUGUCAGCCUUCCUUUGUGGAGACUGUAGAAGAGAUUGUUUUUCUUGCCUGUUCCAGCUGCUAGAGGCUGUAUGUUCCUUAACUGGUGAGUCCCCUCCAUCUUCAAAGUCAUCAAAGGCAGGUCUUUCUCACAGGGCCAUUUCUCGGUUUCUGACUUGCCUCUGCCUUGUUCCCUUAAGGAAUCUUGGGAUUACAUUUGGCCUACCAGAUAAUCCAGGAUAAUCUCAUUCUUUUAAGGCCAGCUGAUUAGCAACUUUAAUUCCAUCUGCAACCUUAAAUCCUCUUGCCAUGUAAUAUAACAAAUACACUGUUUCUGGUGAUUAGGACAUGCAUCCCUUUGUGGGGGGCAUUAUUUUGUCUACCACAACAUGUAAAACAAAACAAAACAAAAACAGGAAGAACAAAGGAAGAAAUAACAGUGAAUGGACAAAAUGGAGUGGUAACAUUAAUACCAGUAAUAAUAGUAAUAAGUAACAAGA